rnacentral:misc_RNA from 1 species
GAUGAAGAACGUAGCGAAAUGCGAUACGUAAUGUGAAUUGCAGAAUUCAGUGAAUCAUCGAGUCUUUGAACGCACAUUGCGCCCUCUGGUAUUCCGGAGGGCAUGCCUGUCCGAGCGUCAUUGCCGCCCUCAAGCACGGCUUGUGUGUUGGGCCCCCGCCCCCCGGCUUCGGGGGGCGGGCCCGAAAGGCAGCGGCGGCACCGCGUCCGGUCCUCGAGCGUAUGGGGCUUCGUCACCCGCUCUGUAGGCCCGGCCGGCGCCCGCCGGCGACCCCAAUCAAUCUUUCCAGGUUGACCUCGGAUCAGGUAGGAAUACCCGCUGAACUUAAGCAUAUCAAUAAGCGGAGGA